UACGGGGGGGGCAAGCGUUGUUCGGAAUUACUGGGCGUAAAGGGCGCGUAGGCGGCCUUCUAAGUCGGACGUGAAAUCCCUCGGCUCAACCGAGGAACUGCGUCCGAUACUGAAAGGCUUGAAUCCGGGAGAGGGAUGUGGAAUUCCAGGUGUAGCGGUGAAAUGCGUAGAUAUCUGGAGGAACACCGGUGGCGAAGGCGGCAUCCUGGACCGGCAUUGACGCUGAGGCGCGAAAGCGUGGGGAGCGAACAGG
rnacentral:rRNA from 1 species